UACAGAGGUGGCAAGCGUUGUUCGGAAUUACUGGGCGUAAAGGGCGCGUAGGCGGCUUGGUCAGUCCCGUGUGAAAUCCCUCGGCUCAACUGAGGAACUGCACGGGAAACUGCCUGGCUUGAGUUCGGGAGAGGGAAGCGGAAUUCCGGGUGUAGCGGUGAAAUGCGUAGAUAUCGGGAGGAACACCAGUGGCGAAGGCGACUACCUGGCCUGUUCUUGACGCUGAGGCGCGAAAGCUAGGGGAGCAAACGGG
rnacentral:rRNA from 1 species